rnacentral:rRNA from 1 species
UACGGGGGGGGCAAGCGUUGUUCGGAAUUACUGGGCGUAAAGGGCUCGUAGGCGGCCAACUAAGUCAGACGUGAAAUCCCUAGGCUCAACCUAGGAACUGCGUCUGAUACUGGAUGGUUUGAAUCCGGGAGAGGGAUGCAGAAUUCCAGGUGUAGCGGUGAAAUGCGUAGAUAUCUGGAGGAAUACCGGUGGCGAAGGCGGCAUCCUGGACCGGCAUUGACGCUGAGGAGCGAAAGCUAGGGGAGCAAACGGG